UACGUAGGGUGCGAGCGUUAAUCGGAAUUACUGGGCGUAAAGCGUGCGCAGGCGGUUGUGCAAGACAGGUGUGAAAUCCCCGGGCUUAACCUGGGAACUGCACUUGUGACUGCACGGCUAGAGUACGGUAGAGGGGGAUGGAAUUCCGGCGUGUAGCAGUGAAAUGCGUAGAUAUGCGGAGGAACACCAAUGGCGAAGGCAAUCCCC
rnacentral:rRNA from 1 species